rnacentral:rRNA from 1 species
GACGAACGCUGGCGGCGUGCCUAAUACAUGCAAGUCGAGCGGAAGUUGAAGAGCUUGCUCUUCAACUUUAGCGGCGGACGGGUGAGUAACACGUGGGCAACCUGCCCUGCAGAUCGGGAUAACUCCGGGAAACCGGUGCUAAUACCGAAUAGUUUUCGCCACCUCCUGGUGGCGUACGGAAAGACGGUUUCGGCUGUCACUGCAGGAUGGGCCCGCGGCGCAUUAGCUAGUUGGUGGGGUAACGGCCCACCAAGGCGACGAUGCGUAGCCGACCUGAGAGGGGGAUCGGCCACACUGGGACUGAGACACGGCCCAGACUCCUACGGGAGGCAGCAGUAGGGAAUCUUCCGCAAUGGACGAAAGUCUGACGGAGCAACGCCGCGUGAGUGACGAAGGUUUUCGGAUCGUAAAACUCUGUUGUGAGGGAAGAACAAGUACCAACUAACUACUGGUACCUUGACGGUACCUCACCAGAAAGCCACGGCUAACUACGUGCCAGCCGCCGCCGUAACAC